GGCUAACAAACUAAGUUACUGUAACAGUGACGCGGUCGUAUAAAGAAAAGAUGAAAACCAAAGAUUACCUGUGCCUGCUCAAAGUGGCAUUCAUACAGGAUGGGAAUGUUUCCUGGAACAGCUCCCUGGUCCAUACAGUGGCUCCUGAGCAGGGUGCUCUUCAGCUGUACAGGCUGCGAUUCAUCCGCCAUCUUCAACCACUCUGGCCUGAAGGACUCAUACAUGCACCACAAAGCCC